rnacentral:rRNA from 1 species
AGCCAAUAGAUACCCAGGUAGUCCACGCCCUAAACGAUGUCUACUAGUUGUUGGUGGAGUAAAAUCCAUGAGUAAACGCAGCUAACGCGUGAAGUAGACCGCCUGGGGAGUACGGUCGCAAGAUUAAAACUCAAAGGAAUUGACGGGGGCCCGCACAAGCGGUGGAUUAUGUGGAUUAAUUCGAUGCAACGCGAAAAACCUUACCUGGCCUUGACAUGCCACUAACGAAGCAGAGAUGCAUUAGGUGCCCGUAAGGGAAAGUGGACACAGGUGCUGCGUGGCUGUCGUCAGCUCGUGUCGUGAGAUGUUGGGUUAAGUCCCGCAACGAGCGCAACCCUUGCCAUUAAUUGCCAUCAUUUAGUUGGGCACUUUAAUGGGACUGCCGGUGACAAACCGGAGGAAGGUGGGGAUGACGUCAAGUCCUCAUGGCCCUUAUGGCCAGGGCUUCACACGUAAUACAAUGGUCGGUACAGAGAGUUGCCAACCCGCGAGGGGAGCUAAUCUCAGAAAGCCGAUCGUAGUCCGGAUUGUUCUCUGC